rnacentral:tRNA from 1 species
UCAUGGUGCAGAGGUUAGCAUGUCUGCCUGUGACGCCGAACGCCUGGGUUCAAAUCCCAGCAUGAA